CAAGCUUCUCAGAACCAGCUCAACAGAAGUAACAAAUAAGCUUUGCAGAAACAGAGAUGAAGAGAUUUUCCUGUACCCUAUUAUCAUGCCUGAGACAGUUGCUGGAUGUCGUUAAAUACAAGUCCUUCUACCAGAAGAUGACUGAGGGAAGAAGGUUACGGGAUCAUAAAGGUUGAAACAAUGGGACAGCUGGAGGCGACACAGGCUUUCUAAAACUGGAACAAUAGCCAGUGACGAAUGAGAAGUUUAUAAGAAGUUUAUGUGUCACUGUGUGGACAUUUGCAGGCAGCAUGGAUGCAUACCUUGGUCUAGGGUUGUUCUUUUGCAAAUGCUGGUCACAGAAAAGUGCAAUAAAACUAAUA